UACGUAGGGUGCAAGCGUUAAUCGGAAUUACUGGGCGUAAAGCGUGCGCAGGCGGUUUUGUAAGUCUGUCGUGAAAUCCCCGGGCUUAACCUGGGAAUGGCGAUGGAGACUGCAAGGCUAGAGUUUGGCAGAGGGGGGUAGAGUUCCACGUGUAGCAGUGAAAUGCGUAGAGAUGUGGAGGAACACCGAUGGCGAAGGCAGCCCCCUGGGUCAAAACUGACGCUCAUGCACGAAAGCGUGGGGAGCAAACAGG
rnacentral:rRNA from 1 species